rnacentral:rRNA from 1 species
GUGGGGAAUUUUGGACAAUGGGCGCAAGCCUGAUCCAGCAAUGCCGCGUGCAGGAAGAAGGCCUUCGGGUUGUAAACUGCUUUUGUACGGAACGAAACGGUCCGGGUUAAUACCCUGGGCUAAUGACGGUACCGUAAGAAUAAGCACCGGCUAACUACGUGCCAGCAGCCGCGGUAAUACGUAGGGUGCAAGCGUUAAUCGGAAUUACUGGGCGUAAAGCGUGCGCAGGCGGUUUUGUAAGACAGGCGUGAAAUCCCCGGGCUCAACCUGGGAAUUGCGCUUGGGACUGCAAGGCUGGAGUGCGGCAGAGGGGGAUGGAAUUCCGCGUGUAGCAGUGAAAUGCGUAGAUAUGCGGAGGAACACCGAUGGCGAAGGCAAUCCCCUGGGCCUGCACUGACGCUCAUGCACGAAAGCGUGGGGAGCAAACAGGAUUAGAUACCCUAGUAGUCC